UACGGAGGGGGCAAGCGUUGUUCGGAAUUACUGGGCGUAAAGGGCGCGCAGGCGGCUGCUCAAGUCAGGCGUGAAAGGCCUGGGCUCAACCCGGGAAUUGCGCUUGAGACUGGGCUGGCUUGAGUACGGGAGAGGAUGGUGGAAUUCCCAGUGUAGAGGUGAAAUUCGUAGAUAUUGGGAAGAACACCGGUGGCGAAGGCGGCCAUCUGGACCGCAACUGACGCUGAGGCGCGAAAGCGUGGGGAGCAAACAGG
rnacentral:rRNA from 1 species